GGGGGCGAAAUUGGCUUCGACGGGGAUUUGAAACUUGUAGUAGCAAGCCAUCAUUGGCAAGGUGAUGUAAAACAGGCCAAAAACAUUAAAUGCUAACGACAAUAACGUAGCACUAGCCGCGUAAUUUAACGCAGCCAUCCAAACUAGAAGGCCCACGGUCUAGGGAGGGUGUCAAAAUUAGUGGGGAACCGCACUAAGCUAAGCUUUGCCCUUAGGACGGAAUUUAUGAAGCUACCCUGGCCUAGCGGCUUGGUCCUUCAGCUAAGCUAGGGAAAAUUUAAGAAGGUUCUGAGCUUGGAGAAGCUACUUGGGAAGAGUUCUCGGACGCGGGUUCGACCCCCGCCGCCUCCACCA
rnacentral:tmRNA from 1 species